CCGGCUGCGUGCGCUGCCUGCGGGUCGAACCGUUCUGUGCAGGGCACGGGCGGUUCCUCGCGGCUCGCUCGGGGCGGCACGUACCUACAGUCGAUGGCCUGUGUAAUCCCGAGGAGACAUCCAGGGAUUUACUUGUGCAGGCCGUGAAAGUGUUCGGAGUGCUGUUAGUUUUACCAGCUAAUCACAGAAUCAUCAGGGUUGUAAGAGACCUCUAAGGUCACGAAGUCCAACCAGCAACCUAAUGCUUCCACUGUCUACUUAUUUCUAUUUUUAACAUUUUUUUAUUUACUUUUUUUUUGCUAAGUCGUGUUUUCAGUGUGCUUCAUUACAUGUUUAAUCUGUACAUUUCCUUAAUUUGAGGGUUAAAUGUUUUCACUUACAAUUAUUUCACUUUACAAAACUGUCUAUCAGUAAUUUCCUGCUAUUCGGUACCUAAUUCUUAUUGCUGUUCUCAAGAGGCUCGAGUGGUGUCCCUCUUUGCUAGAACUCUCCAAAAUCCUGUCUCCACAGUCGCCAUGGGCUGGGCUCUGCUGAAUGAUGCUUUAUAACAGCUACAAUAAAUCUAAUAACUGGCAGCUAUUUCAACAUGGACAUGUGUUGCAGGAUUAAUGUCCAAGACAGUUUCUUAUCUUUUCUGCUGGGAUUCACAAAGAGACAAGGAGACACGUGUUGCUCCCUCGGGUUGUCUGUAGGGGUACAUCGCACAGUAGUUUUACUUUAUCAGGGUUUGGUGUCAAAGAAGUUGGGAUGGUCAGUUCCUAGUAAGCAGAGGAAGCUGCAUCUACUUUCUGAUAAAUUCACAACAAUUCUUAAUAGGAACUUGUCAUCAAAACAGUUCAAGGAGGAAAUUCCAAAAGCAUUUUGUUUUCUGUAAUUUGGCUGGCCUUCAUCUGCUAAGGGAAGCCCCAGCAGGCAAAUAAUCCUUGCCAACAGUGAGACAGAGAGCAGUUGAACAGCAGCUUUGUCUUUCCUAGUCUGUCAUUCAGAUCUUUUGUUUUUCUUUUUUUUAUUUUAAACAUCUUUUUUCCAUUCUCUUUGAUGUUUUGCCAGACUUCUGCAAUUAAAUAUAACACACAUUUUUUUCUCAUGCAAUAGCAAACACUCAUUUUUUUACUGAUGUAUAUCUACCUCUCAGCUGGUAGACAGGCAACAAAUUAAAAUUCUCCAAUAUUUGUGACCACAAAUUAAAUCUGAAUGCUCAACAGCUGCUGAAGUUUUAUGUAUGUUUGUUUCUAAACUUGACAGACACAGACUAUCCCUGCUGCUGGAGUUUUGUGAAGUGACAGGAGGAGUUAAAAAUCUGUUGGUUUGUUGGGGUUUUUUUCACCUUGAUAAUUAAACUGACUUUUAAUUUGGCCUAUUUGGCUAAUUUGGCCUGUUGGAAAUGCAUAUUUAAUGACUGGAACUACUGCCUUUACUGGUCCACGCUUCUGAUCUUUUGGGCCCAAAUCUGGCAGAGCAUAAACCCAGUAUAAAGUCAUUUGGUUCAGUGCAAUUUUACUGGCUGUUUUUAAUUUUUUUGAAAAUACCAGUUUCAGAAAUUCUUUGAUGUCUACUCAAUAGGAAAGACUAUCUUGAGUGUAUACCCGUUCCUGAACACAAGAAGCCAUCAGCAUAUCAAAUGUUUUUGUUGGAUUUUGUUGCAAACGCUCACAUCUAAAGUUACUAUACCAUUGUUCCUUUGGUUAUAGUGCUGAAUUAUUCAAUAUUAUCAUCCGCUGCCCUUGGGCUUAGGAGAUCUCUUUCACAGUUAAUUAUUAAAAGAUAUACCUCCACUUUUUUAAUUAAUGCUGGUGUUUCUUAUUAAGGGACCCAGCUCCUACAGCCCUUUGUGGGUGGGAAGUACCUCUUACAUGUUUCCUAUUUCAUGUUCAGGCAGGCAUCGAACCAUGUCUAAUGCAACUUGGUUCAUACCCACCUCUGACCAUAAACUCUGGGGCACAAUUCAGCUGGUAUAAACAGUCAAAGGCUCCAAUUAAGUAAAUAGAGCUAUGACAAAUGUAGCAGGGGUCUAGUUCUCCCUCUCCCACCCCCUUCCAAUUUUGUUUACAAGUUAUGGUACAAAUUUGGAUUUAGAAUAAUACUUUUGCUGACACAGCAGUUGUCUGUGCUGACUGCUGUAGUUUCUGAUAGUGGAUAGGAGUACAUCUGUGCUCCCGUUCCACAUCAGACUUCAGCACUUAGCUUGUAUUUUGGCUGGAACUAAAUUGGCUUAAUUCUUUUAAAUGGCUAAUUAUAAUUUGUUAGUUAUGGAAAGAGUCUCCUGGAGUUGGAAGGAAAUCUUUCUCCCUUUGUAGGGAAAACAUAGAUAGUGUUUAUUUGAUUUUUUUUUCUUAAGGUUAUUUAAAUAGCUGGUCCAAGUGAGGAUUCUAAGUGUUUGUCUCCUCAGCCUUUGUCUCUGUAGGGGAUAAAUGCUGCACUCCCAUCUGUUACAUGAAUUCAGAGCUGCCAGACGUAACCAAGAGCAGAAUACGCCUUCUCCUUUUCUUCCCUCACUCGCUUGUUCUCUGCUUCCUUGCACAGUCUUUGUUCUCCUGACCUUCUUUGGUGUAUUUCAAUGGCACUGCUGGCAACAAGAGGGGCUACAAACAGCGUGAAUUAGUCUUUCUUUCAUGGGAAACUGCAGCAGGGGGGAGAGUACACUGGGCACUUGUAAUGCUGCUGAUGUGCACUUACAAGGCAGUACAAAAAGUAAACGGUCCUGCAAAGGGAAAGGGGAGUGAAAACAUAGAGUUACUGGGUCUCAAUGCUGGCACACUUCUUACAAGUCAGAAAAGCUUCAAAUGAAGUCGUUUGGGUAGUUUACACUUCUUUUCCUGGUAAACUCACAUCAGCUACAUUGGUUUUAGGAGGUUUUCUGCAUGGGGCCUUCUGCUGAAACAAUGUGAAUGCAAACUCAGCUUGUAGGCAAAUCUUUUCUGUUUCUGUAGCCUGUGACCCCAUGAUUGCUGCUGGUUUCUGUUAUUUAUUAUGUCUGUGAAAUCUUAAGGUCUGUAUCACUUCUGAAGCACAAGCUUGAAAUGUAAAGGCUCAAGUAUAUACAAAAUUCUCCUGAAGUAUAUACAUUGUCUUUAAGAAUGUGUGACCUCCUUUCUUUCUCUCUACUAUUAUGGCACGUCUGAAACUGUGAUUGAAACGUUGUUUGCAGAAAUUGAUUUUUAUCGCUUUAUUUUUCCCAGGUUUACAAUGAGUUGUUGACAGCACUUUGAGUAUUUUAUUUCACUCUUUGUUUUGCAAAGUCAUUUUUCUUUCCCUGUUGUUUGUAUGAAGUCUCUCAUGCACAUCAAAAUCAGGGAGGGGGAAAAGAGGGUUAAAAAAAGCCAAGAAAUACUAUGAGUAAUAUUUAUUGUGUACAGUUGACAUAUUUAGAUGUUAGUUUUGAGGUGAACAGUGUAUAUGCACAAAGGAGCAGGGUUUCAGCUGGCUUAACUUGGAGUAAAUAAAGGCCUUAUCUUACCUUUGCAGUUGACCAUUAAAGUAUGUUCCUGUCCCUGGGCCAGUUAAGUACGUCUGAAGUUUGAUGACAACUGUAGAAUCUGUCAGCAAAGUCUGUGAAGUAAAAUGCUGGUUGUCAUCAACCGUGUCUCUCAAUGGAUGUAGAGUUACCAAAGUCCUGUCAUUUCUUGUGUCGUUGAACAGGGAAAUCUGAGUCAUCUCAGUCACCUGAACCGCCUCAGUUAUUGAGUCAUGUCAGUUAGUCACCUUAGUUGUCAGUAACCUAUGACUGAAUAUACGGAGUCAAUAAAACAUACACUCGAAAUGUUAUCUGCAGUAACAAUCGAGAUUUUUUUUUUUUAAUUCAGCACAAAUGUCCUGUGGAUAUACCGCAGUUAUUUCCUGAUGUAUUAGUAAUGAAUUGGCUGUGCCAUGUUGUUUCCAUGCAGUCAUGACGUCCUCCCUGCUUCCUGGAACAAAACCAGUUCCCAGCACUGCUGUUGCGCUUGUGCCAUCCCAUCCUCCACCUUAAAGAAGCCCUUUCUGGCACUGGGCAGUGAGGAAUAGCAUGGGUAUAAAGAACCAUUCUGCAAGAAAGUAAGAGAAGCAAACAGUUAAGAAUGAAGAAAGGACGCAAUGGGUUUUAUACUGUUCUAUUUUAUUUUCUUCUUUUUUUUUAAGGGAAUAACUGAAGAAUCCUUAAAUAGAGAAUACUUGCAGUGACUGUUCUUUACAGAAUGUACACUGACUGCUAAUCAUAUCUAAAGCAGAGAAACACUAAUUCAAGGGUUGUGUUGAAGAAAUGCUUUGGGUUGGGAACAUUUUUAACUGAAAAGCAGAUUCUGUGAAGGCUUCCAGGGAAGGGCACUUUGCCUGAAGAGAGUCACAUCAAAAGCUCCACCUGGCUUCUAAAUCACAGGUUUCUUGAAAAACCUUAUCAUUACACAGACUUGUACUGAAAUUCAGUCUGAUACAAACCAGAUCAAUUUGUAUUUGUGCCCCUACCUCAUUCAGUUACGAGCAUAUACGCAAAAUGCUCGAUGAAAAAAUACACGUGCAUUGAAAGUCCCCAUCUGAACUAAUCUCAGAGAUUUGAUGGGGAAAAUUCCUGAAAACUAGAUACAGAAACACUUAGUGCCUAAUAAUUUUGCUGGGAGGAGGUGGGCAAGCUGAGAGGGGCUCCCAGAAGCUACACAUUAGACAUGAUAUGAACACAGAAGAUGCUGGAUUUUGGGUGAUCUGUGACUGAAAAAUGGACAACUCCUGUCAGCCCAGAGUGCAACUCCUCACCCUGCUCUAAAUCACAAGUCUCAACUUGGCCAGCGGCCCUGUGCUAAAAACACUUGUUUCUCUCCAACACAACAUCUAUAAAUGGAGCUGGGACAACUGCGUCAGCCAUCACGGAAUAUCUCAACUCGGCAGGGACCCAUAAGGAUCACUGGGCACAACUCGAUGCGUGCCUGGCUUGUAGCUACCUGAACUUCAGUGAAGUGGAUCCCACUGAACUUCGCUUAUAUCUGCAGUAUGCCAGGGACACAGUCACAGCAGCACCCCAGAUUUGCUGCCUUUGGCCUCAACGUGCCUCCUGCUGUUGAUGAUCCUUGUCUCCAGCAGAUGGCCCAGCCAGCCCGCAACCAGCCUUGCUCUCCCUGGCAAUCUCACAGCAGGCACAUUGUGUUAUUCAAGACUGGCACCUCUGAAGUCAGUUUUAAGUUUCAAAUUAUACAGAAAAGUGGUUUUACGUACACCAAGCUAAAUAUUCAUUAGUACCUCAAAAAAUGGCAAUUUUGAAUUUGAAAUGUUUUUAGCAAUAGUGGCUCCAUAUCAAUGACUCAAUAGUACCAUGUCACUGCUGCAGAGUUUGUGAAAAGAUGGUCCCAGGACAGUCAUGCCCGGCAAAUUUAUUUUCUGUAAUAACAAAGAGGAAAAUGAAAAGCGCACAGCUAAUGCAUCAGUUCUACUUUUUAAUAUGACUAUCUUACGGUUUCCUCUAAGUUACUGGAAAUAUACCCAUGACAUAUUUCCCCAUCCAAAGAUCAAUACCUGUUACAAAAAUAAAUGCUGUUCUAGAUGAAAA